rnacentral:rRNA from 1 species
UAAUACGUAGGGGGCAAGCGUUGUCCGGAAUCAUUGGGCGUAAAGAGCGCGUAGGCGGUCCGAUAAGUCGGUUGUGAAAGUCAGGGGCUCAACCCCUGAAUGCCGGCCGAUACUGUCGGGCUAGAGUCCGGAAGAGGCGAGUGGAAUUCCCGGUGUAGCGGUGAAAUGCGCAGAUAUCGGGAGGAACACCAAUGGCGAAGGCAGCUCGCUGGGACGGUACUGACGCUGAGGCGCGAAAGCGUGGGGAGCAAACAGGAUUAGAUACCCUGGUAGUCCACGCCGUAAACGAUGGGCACUAGGUGUGGGAGGUGUCGACUCCUCCCGUGCCGCAGCUAACGCAUUAAGUGCCCCGCCUGGGGAGUACGGCCGCAAGGCUA